rnacentral:lncRNA from 1 species
CUCUGUUUCCGUGCUGUGCUCCCUGGAAGGAAGUCUCCAUGUGCAGCCCACACUGAGGAAAGAGAGGGACUCAGCUGGUGCAACCCUUCCCCUUUCCUCUUUCUCCUUGCUUUGAACAUGGAUCUAAUGGCAGGAGCUAAGGCAGCCAUCUUGUGACCAUGAGGAAAGAGACUGACAGCAGUUUCAGCCGGGCAUGCCUCAGCCAUUGAACAGCACCUUAGAUUUCUCACGUGAGAAAAAUAAAUUCCUGUUUGUUUAAAUCACUGAAGUAGUUUUUUG